rnacentral:miRNA from 9 species
CCUCACUACCGUGUCUUUUGCA